rnacentral:rRNA from 1 species
GACGAACGCUGACGGCGUGCUUAACACAUGCAAGUCGAGCGGUAAGGCCCUUUCGGGGGUACACGAGCGGCGAACGGGUGAGUAACACGUGGGUGACCUGCCCUCAGCUCUGGGAUAAGCCUGGGAAACCGGGUCUAAUACCGGAUAUGACUCCAUGACGCAUGUUGUGGGGUGGAAAGCCUUGUGCGGCUGAGGAUGGGCCCGCGGCCUAUCAGCUUGUUGGUGGGGUGAUGGCCUACCAAGGCGACGACGGGUAGCCGGCCUGAGAGGGCGACCGGCCACACUGGGACUGAGACACGGCCCAGACUCCUACGGGAGGCAGCAGUGGGGAAUCUUGCGCAAUGGGCGAAAGCCUGACGCAGCGACGCCGCGUGAGGGAUGACGGCCU